UACGAAGGGGGCUAGCGUUGCUCGGAAUCACUGGGCGUAAAGCGCACGUAGGCGGACUCUUAAGUCGGUGGUGAAAUCCUGGAGCUCAACUCCAGAACUGCCUUCGAUACUGAGAGUCUCGAGUCCGAGAGAGGUGAGUGGAACUGCGAGUGUAGAGGUGAAAUGCGCAGAUAUCAGGAGGAACACCCGUGGCGAAGGCGGCUCUCUGGGACGGUACUGACGCUGAGACGCGAAAGCGUGGGGAGCGAACAGG
rnacentral:rRNA from 1 species